GCCCUCUGCCUCUGGGAGUGGCCCCUUUCUACUAAGGAGGCAAGAGGUGGCCAGGAGUCUGUCAGCGAGUUCUGCAUGUCCUGGUGACCCUCCACCUGUUUCACAGGUCGUUGGACUGUGGCAGGAAGCAGGAAGCCGGAGUACAAGGAAAGAACCCACGCAAACACAGGAAGAACAUGCCAACUCCACACAGAGCGACGGUAGAGCUGAACUCAAGACCUUCUUCCUGUGUGGUAACGGUGCUAACCACUGUGCCGCCCGCGUAAGAGGAGAGCCACUGAGGGAACGCCUUCCGCCCUCCGACGCCUCCACCGUGACCUCCACUUCUGAGAGGAAUUGCCCACAGAUCAAGCAUGGAGUGUGCCUGAAUGGACAUACAGAACUCCAAGGUUCGGCCCAGUGUUGAGGGUUUUCCCAAAGGAGAGGGCCCGGCGGGCGGUGCCUCACAGCCCUCUGCCUCUGGGAGUGGCCCCUUUCUACUAAGGAGGCAAGAGGUGGCCAGGAGUCUGUCAGCGAGUUCUGCAUGUCCUGGUGACCCUCCACCUGUUUCACAGGUCGUUGGACUGUGGCAGGAAGCAGGAAGCCGGAGUACAAGGAAAGAACCCACGCAA